rnacentral:rRNA from 1 species
UACAGAGGGGGCAAGCGUUAUUCGGAAUUAUUGGGCGUAAAGGGCGCGUAGGCGGCGAUUCAAGUGACGGGUGAAAUCCCUCGGCUUAACCGAGGAACUGCCUGUCAGACUGGGUUGCUUGAGACAGGGAGAGGCGAGUGGAAUUCCCAGUGUAGCGGUGAAAUGCGUAGAUAUUGGGAGGAACACCAGUGGCGAAGGCGGCUCGCUGGACCGGAACUGACGUUGAGGCACGAAAGCGUGGGGAGCAAACAGG